rnacentral:sRNA from 1 species
ACUGACUAUAAAAGAAUAGAGAAGGAAGAGCUUCAGUGACCGGCUGCCUGGCUGACUUACAGCAGUCAGACUCUGACAGGAUCAUGGCUAUGAUGGAGGUCCAGGGGGGACCCAGCCUGGGACAGACCUGCGUGCUGAUCGUGGUCUUCACAGUGCUCCUGCAGUCUCUCUGUGUGGCUGUAACUUACGUGUACUUUACCAACGAGCUGAAGCAGUUUGCAGAAAAUGAUUGCCAGAGACUAAUGUCUGGGCAGCAGACAGGGUCAUUGCUGCCAUCUUGAAGUCUACCUUGCUGAGUCUACCUUGCUGAGUCUACCCUGCUGACCUCAAGCCCCAUCAAGGACUGGUUGACCCUGGCCUAGACAACCACCGUGUUUGUAACAGCACCAAGAGCAGUCGCCAUGGAAAUCCACUUUUCAGAACCAAGGGCUUCUGGAGCUGAAGAACAGGCACCCAGUGCAAGAGCUUUCUUUUCAGAGGCACGCAAAUGAAAAUAAUCCCCACACGCUACCUUCUGCCCCCAGUGCCCAGGUGUGGUUAGUUAGAGAAUAUAGCCUCAGCCUAUGAUAUGCUGCAGGAAACUCAUACUUUGAAGUGGAAAGGAUGGGAGGAGGCGGGGGGAGACAUAUCGUAUUAAUUAUCAUUCUUGGAAUAACCACAGCACCUCACGUCAACCCGCCAUGUGUCUAGUCACCAGCAUUGGCCAAGUUCUAUAGGAGAAACUACCAAAAUUCAUGAUGCAAGAAACAUGUGAGGGUGGAGAGAGUGACUGGGGCUUCCUCUCUGGAUUUCUAUUGUUCAGAAAUCAAUAUUUAUGCAUAAAAAGGUCUAGAAAGAGAAACACCAAAAUGACAAUGUGAUCUCUAGAUGGUAUGAUUAUGGGUACUUUUUUUCCAUUUUAUUUUUCUAUAUUUUACAAAUUUUCUACAGGGAAUGUCAUAAAAAUAUCUAUGCUAUCCAUGUAUAAUUUUCAUAUAGAUUGAAAGAACACAGCAUUUUUAUAUAGUCUUAUGAGAAAACAACCAUACUCAAAAUUAUGCACACACACAGUCUGAUCUCACCCCUGUAAACAAGAGAUAUCAUCCAAAGGUUAACUAGGAGGUGAGAACAUAGCUGCUAUUAGUGGUUGUUUUGUUUUGUUUUGUUUUGUUUUGUUUUGUGAUUUACUUAUUUAGUUUUUGGAGGGUUUUUUUUUUUCUUUUAGAAAAGUGUUCUUUACUUUUCCAUGCUUCCCUGCUUGCCUGUGUAUCCUGAAUGUAUCCAGGCUUUAUAAACUCCUGGGUAAUAAUGUAGCUACAUUAACUUGUUAACCUCCCAUCCACUUAUACCCAGGACCUUACUCAAUUUUCCAGGUUC